GGACAUCGGAAUUAAGUUCGAGAAAUAAGAAUUUAGACCGAAGCGGGUCUAUUAAAAUUAUCGUAAAAUAAUAAAUUAAGUGGAAUUUAUUAUUUGAUAAAUUGGAAUUUAGCGGGACUAAGAAAAGUAAAUAAAUUAAAAUAAAAUAAAUGGUAAGUCCCGAGUUAAUUUUACGAUAAAGUUCGUAAAAUAAAUUAUUUGGACCUAGAUAAAUAAAUAAUGUGAUGGAGCCAUUAUUUAUCAAUAAAGAAUAAUCGUCAAGGUUCUUUUUAAUUACGACAACAUUUUAGACUUUAAUUGAAAAAUUUAAAAGUUGAAGGAUUUAGUGGGAAGAGGUGCCAAAUCUAAGUAUUUAUAUAGAUUUUUUCCCCAUAAAACCAAUAGGAAAAAGGCACCUAAACCUCCACCUCUUCAAGAAUACUCUAGCUCAAAUAAGAUUAGAAUUGGAAAAUAGAAACAAAACCCAUCUUCUUCUCCUCCACCGAAAACCCCAUCACCAUCUUCAUCAACUUGGAGCUCUCACCACGGUGGCAUCAAUAUCUUCACAAUCCGGCCACCAAAUCCAGCGAUUCAAGGUCGGUUGGAGAGCUAACACACACACGAAUAAGACUCGACGAGGCGACUAUUAAGGGGGCGCAAAACGUAAAGAACGCAACAGGGCUUUGCUAUGGCCGAAGUCUUUGGAUAGCAAUUAUGUUAUGUUUCAGGUGUAUAGUAUCAGAUGUAACGGACUUCUAUCCUUGUUCCAGAAGUCCGCGAAUACAGAAAGAAGGAAUAAAUCAGUAGUGCUGCAGUAGUCGAGUCCUAGAGUGUAAUUAUGUUUUGUCAAACGGUUUUAUAUAUGUUGUUUAUACUCUGACAUGUAUAAAGGUUUUAAACUGCGCUUUUAAACCGUUUAUAUAUAUAUAUGUGAGAAACAGGGCAUUGCUUGAUAUGAGAUAUCGCUUUGUAAGACCCUGAUUUCUAAAGAUCGUUUUGUAUCGUUUAAAGAAGUUUUAUAAAAACGUUUUGAGAA